AUGUGGGAGGAAUGCUUGCCUCAUAUUGAAUUUGCUUAUAAUCGUUCAUUGCAUUCUACUACUAAGAUGUGCCCUUUUGAAGUUGUGUAUGGUUUCCUACCUCGUGCACCUAUUGAUUUGUUGCCUCUUCCAUCUUCGGAGAAGGUUAAUUUUGAUGCUAAACAACGUGCUGAAUUGAUUUUAAAAAUGCAUGAGUUAACUAAGGAAAACAUUGAGCGCAUGAAUGCUAAAUAUAAACUUGCUGGAGAUAAGGGUAGAAAACAUGUUGUGUUUGCACCUGGAGAUCUUGUUUGGUUACAUUUGCGUAAGGAUAGAUUUCCUGAUUUGCGCAAAUCAAAGUUAAUGCCACGUGCUGAUGGUCCCUUUAAGGUGUUAGAGAAAAUAAAUGAUAAUGCAUAUAAACUUGAGCUGCCUGCAAAUUUUGGGGUUAGUCCCACUUUUAACAUUGCAGAUUUGAAGCCUUAUUUGGGUGAGGAAGAUGAACUUCCGUCGAGGACGACUUCAUUUCAAGAAGGGGAGGAUGAUGAGGACAUCAAUACAAUUGUUACACCCACAGCCCCUGCUGCUAUACAUACUGGACCAAUUACUAGAGCUCGUGCACGCCAACUAAAUUACCAGGAAACAGACCCUCGUGGUCAGGUUGAUCGUGCUCCGGCGUGGUCAAUAACCUCUCGGAGUUGGUUUAGCGAUUGCUAA
rnacentral:rRNA from 1 species